rnacentral:tRNA from 1 species
GGAGGGUUCGCCAUUGGCAAGGCAAGCGGGUUGCUAACCCGUGCGGGACACCCCCGUUGCCGGUUCGACUCCGGCACUCUCCGC